CCUACGGGAGGCUGCAGUGGGGAAUCUUGCGCAAUGGGCGGAAGCCUGACGCAGCAACGCCGCGUGAGGGAUGACGGCCUUCGGGUUGUAAACCUCUUUCGCGAUCGACGAAGGCCCUCCUUGUUGGGGGGUUGACGGUAGGUCGAGAAGAAGCACCGGCCAACUACGUGCCAGCAGCCGCGGUAAUACGUAGGGUGCGAGCGUUGUCCGGAAUUAUUGGGCGUAAAGAGCUCGUAGGCGGUGUGUCACGUCGGCCGUGAAAACCUGGGGCUUAA
rnacentral:rRNA from 1 species